rnacentral:rRNA from 1 species
AGAGUUUGAUCCUGGCUCAGGAUGAACGCUGGCGGCGUGCCUAACACAUGCAAGUCGAGCGAUUCUCUUCGGAGAAGAGCGGCGGACGGGUGAGUAACGCGUGGGUAACCUGCCCUGUACACACGGAUAACAUACCGAAAGGUAUGCUAAUACGAGAUAAUAUGCUUUUAUCGCAUGGUAGAAGUAUCAAAGCUUUUGCGGUACAGGAUGGACCCGCGUCUGAUUAGCUAGUUGGUAAGGUAACGGCUUACCAAGGCGACGAUCAGUAGCCGACCUGAGAGGGUGAUCGGCCACAUUGGAACUGAGACACGGUCCAAACUCCUACGGGAGGCAGCAGUGGGGAAUAUUGCACAAUGGGCGAAAGCCUGAUGCAGCAACGCCGCGUGAGCGAUGAAGGCCUUCGGGUCGUAAAGCUCUGUCCUCAAGGAAGAUAAUGACGGUACUUGAGGAGGAAGCCCCGGCUAACUACGUGCCAGCAGCCGCGGUAAUACGUAGGGGGCUAGCGUUAUCCGGAAUUACUGGGCGUAAAGGGUGCGUAGGUGGUUUCUUAAGUCAGAGGUGAAAGGCUACGGCUCAACCGUAGUAAGCCUUUGAAACUGGGAAACUUGAGUGCAGGAGAGGAGAGUGGAAUUCCUAGUGUAGCGGUGAAAUGCGUAGAUAUUAGGAGGAACACCAGUGGCGAAGGCGGCUUUCUGGACGACAACUGACGCUGAGGCGCGAAAGUGUGGGGAGCAAACAGGAUUAGAUACCCUGGUAGUCCACACCGUAAACGAUGGAUACUAGGUGUAGGAGGUAUCGACCCCUUCUGUGCCGCAGUUAACACAAUAAGUAUCCCACCCGGGGAGUACGACCGCAAGGUUGAAACUCAAAGGAAUUGACGGGGGCCCGCACAAGCAGUGGAGUAUGUGGUUUAAUUCGAAGCAACGCGAAGAACCUUACCUGGGCUUGACAUCCCGAUGACCGUCCUAGAGAUAGGGCUUCCCUUCGGGGCAUCGGUGACAGGUGUGCAUGGUUGUCGUCAGCUCGUGUCGUGAGAUGUUGGGUUAAGUCCCGCAACGAGCGCAACCACUAUUGUCAGUUGCCAUCAUUCAGUUGGGAACUCUGGCGAGACUGCCGGUGACAAAUCGGAGGAAGGUGGGGACGACGUCAAAUCAUCAUGCCCCUUAUGCCCAGGGCUACACACGUACUACAAUGGCCGAUAACAAAGUGCAGCGAAAUCGUGAGGUGGAGCGAAUCACAAAACUCGGUCUCAGUUCAGAUUGCAGGCUGCAACUCGCCUGCAUGAAGUUGGAAUUGCUAGUAAUCGCGAAUCAGAAUGUCGCGGUGAAUACGUUCCCGGGCCUUGCACUCACCGCCCGUCA